rnacentral:rRNA from 1 species
GCGAAAACUUUACAAUGCUGGCAACAGCGAUAAGGGAACCUCGAGUGCCAGGUUACAAAUCUGGCUGUCGAGAUGCCUAAAAAGCAUUUCAUAGCAAGGGCCGGGCAAGACCGGUGCCAGCCGCCGCGGUAACACCGGCGGCUCGAGUGGUAACCGUUAUUAUUGGGUCUAAAGGGUCUGUAGCCGGCCGGAUAAGUCUCUUGAGAAAUCUGGCAGCUUAACUGUCAGGCUUUCAGGAGAUACUGUCUGGCUCGAGGCCGGGAGAGGUGAGAGGUACUUCAGGGGUAGGGGUGAAAUCUUGUAAUCCUUGAAGGACCACCAGUAGCGAAUGCGUCUCACCAGAACGGACCUGACGGCAAGGGACGAAAGCUAGGGGCACGAACC